rnacentral:rRNA from 1 species
AACGUAGCUUAACGCGUGAAGUUGACCGCCUGGGGAGUACGGUCGCAAGAUUAAAACUCAAAGGAAUUGACGGGGACCCGCACAAGCGGUGGAUGAUGUGGAUUAAUUCGAUGCAACGCGAAAAACCUUACCUACCCUUGACAUGCCACUAACGAAGCAGAGAUGCAUUAGGUGCUCGAAAGAGAAAGUGGACACAGGUGCUGCAUGGCUGUCGUCAGCUNGUGUCGUGAGAUGUUGGGUUAAGUCCCGCAACGAGCGCAACCCUUGUCUCUAGUUGCUACGAAAGGGCACUCUAGAGAGACUGCCGGUGACAAACCGGAGGAAGGUGGGGAUGACGUCAAGUCCUCAUGGCCCUUAUGGGUAAGGGCUUCACACGUCAUACAAUGGUGCAUACAGAGGGUUGCCAAGCCGCGAGGUGGAGCUAAUCCCAGAAAAUGCAUCGUAGUCCGGAUCGUAGUCUGCAACUCGACUACGUGAAGCCUGGGANUCGNCUAGUAAUCGCGGGAUCAGCAUGCCGCGGGUGAGUACGUUCCCGGGGUNU